AAUCAUAAUAGUAAGAUUUGAAAAGGAAUUAACUGUUUUUUUCUCUUCUUGAAGAUAUAAAGGGAUUUAUGUCUGAUGAUAAACCUGCUUUACUAAGUACUCUCGACUCCGAGUACGAAAAUAACCGGUAGAAGCUCCAAAGAAGGUUGAUAAAGUAACUGAUUCUACAUCAACUGCGGUGGGUGGUGGCAUCACUGGUAUGGAUGGUCUUUCCACGUGAAGAUAUCAGUGAAAAGAUCACUCCCUCUUUGUUAAAAGGCUUAGAGAGUUCUGAUUUGAAGGUUCGCUUGGAAUCUAUUGAAUGUGUAACCAAAAUUCUAGAAGAGGCGAAAAAAGUAUUCUGC